AUGCAAGUCGAACGAACUUCCGUUAAUUGAUUAUGGAGGUGCUUGCACUGAAUGAGAUUUUAACACGAAGUGAGUGGCGGACGGGUGAGUAACACGUGGGUAACCUGCCCAGAAGCAGGGGAUAACACCUGGAAACAGAUGCUAAUACCGUAUAACAGAGAAAACCGCCUGGUUUUCUUUUAAAAGAUGGCUCUGCUAUCACUUCUGGAUGGACCCGCGGCGCAUUAGCUAGUUGGUGAGGUAACGGCUCACCAAGGCGAUGAUGCGUAGCCGACCUGAGAGGGUAAUCGGCCACAUUGGGACUGAGACACGGCCCAGACUCCUACGGGAGGCAGCAGUAGGGAAUCUUCCACAAUGGACGCAAGUCUGAUGGAGCAACGCCGCGUGAGUGAAGAAGGGUUUCGGCUCGUAAAGCUCUGUUGUUAAAGAAGAACGUGGGUGAGAGUAACUGUUCACCCAGUGACGGUAUUUAACCAGAAAGCCACGGCUAACUACGUGCCAGCAGCCGCGGUAAUACGUAGGUGGCAAGCGUUAUCCGGAUUUAUUGGGCGUAAAGCGAGCGCAGGCGGUCUUUUAAGUCUAAUGUGAAAGCCUUCGGCUCAACCGAAGAAGUGCAUUGGAAACUGGGAGACUUGAGUGCAGAAGAGGACAGUGGAACUCCAUGUGUAGCGGUGAAAUGCGUAGAUAUAUGGAAGAACACCAGUGGCGAAGGCGGCUGUCUGGUCUGUAACUGACGCUGAGGCUCGAAAGCAUGGGUAGCGAACAGGAUUAGAUACCCUGGUAGUCCAUGCCGUAACGAUGAUUACUAAGUGUUGGAGGGUUUCCGCCCUUCAGUGCUGCAGCUAACGCAUUAAGUAAUCCGCCUGGGGAGUACGAC
rnacentral:rRNA from 1 species